GGGGGCAAGCGUUAUCCGGAUUUACUGGGUGUAAAGGGAGCGCAGACGGCGCGGCAAGUCCGGAGUGAAAGCCCGGGGCCCAACCCCGGGACUGCUCUGGAAACUGCGGCGCUCGAGUGCCGGAGGGGCAGGCGGAAUUCCUAGUGUAGCGGUGAAAUGCGUAGAUAUUAGGAGGAACACCAGUGGCGAAGGCGGCCUGCUGGACGGCGACUGACGUUGAGGCUCGAAAGCGUGGGGAGCAAACAGG
rnacentral:rRNA from 1 species